UACGAAGGGACCUAGCGUAGUUCGGAAUUACUGGGCUUAAAGAGUUCGUAGGUGGUUGAAAAAGUUAGUGGUGAAAUCCCAGAGCUUAACUCUGGAACUGCCAUUAAAACUUUUCAGCUAGAGUAUGAUAGAGGAAAGUAGAAUUUCUAGUGUAGAGGUGAAAUUCGUAGAUAUUAGAAAGAAUACCAAUUGCGAAGGCAGCUUUCUGGAUCAUUACUGACACUGAGGAACGAAAGCAUGGGUAGCGAAGAGG
rnacentral:rRNA from 1 species